rnacentral:tRNA from 1 species
UUAAAAUAAAGCGAUAAAAAUUGCUUUCAGUUUCGACCUGAAUUUAGAGAAAAUCUAUUUU